rnacentral:rRNA from 1 species
AACGAACGCUGGCGGCAGGCCUAACACAUGCAAGUCGAGCGAGAUCUUCGGGUCUAGCGGCGGACGGGUGAGUAACGCGUGGGAAUAUGCCUCUUGGUACGGAAUAGCCUCGGGAAACUGGGAGUAAUACCGUAUGUGCCCUUUGGGGGAAAGAUUUAUCGCCAAGCGAUUAGCCCGCGUUGGAUUAGGUAGUUGGUGGGGUAAUGGCCUACCAAGCCGACGAUCCAUAGCUGGUUUGAGAGGAUGAUCAGCCACACUGGGACUGAGACACGGCCCAGACUCCUACGGGAGGCAGCAGUGGGGAAUCUUAGACAAUGGGGGCAACCCUGAUCUAGCCAUGCCGCGUGAGUGAUGAAGGCCUUAGGGUUGUAAAGCUCUUUAAGCUGGGAAGAUAAUGACGGUACCAGCAGAAGAAGCCCCGGCUAACUCCGUG